UACAGAGGUGGCGAGCGUUAUUCGGAUUUAUUGGGCGUAAAGAGCUCGUAGGCGGCUCGUUGCGUCGGCUGUGAAAACCCGCAGCUCAACUGUGGGCUUGCAGCUGAUACGGGCGGGCUGGAGUUCGGUAGGGGAGACUGGAAUUCCUGGUGUAGCGGUGGAAUGCGCAGAUAUCAGGAGGAACACCGAUGGCGAAGGCAGGUCUCUGGGCCACUACUGACGCUGAGAAGCGAAAGCAUGGGGAGCGAACAGG
rnacentral:rRNA from 1 species